rnacentral:rRNA from 1 species
CCUACGGGAGGCAGCAGUGGGGAAUAUUGCGCAAUGGGCGAAAGCCUGACGCAGCGACGCCGCGUGAGGGAUGAAGGUCUUCGGAUCGUACACCUCUGUCAGCAGGGAAGAACGGUCACUGUGCUAAUCAGCAGUGAAUUGACGGUACCUGCAACGGAAGCACCGGCUAACUCCGUGCAAGCAGCCGCGGUAAUACGGAGGGUGAGAGCGUUAAUCGGAAUUACUGGGCGUAAAGCGCUCGUAGGCGGUAUGUCCAGUCAAGGGUGAAAUCCCCGCGCUCAACGUGGGAACUGUCUUUUAAACUGGCAAAAUGGAGUGUGUGAGAGGAUAGUGGAAUUCCAGGUGUAGGAGUGAAAUCCGUAGAUAUCUGGAGGAACAUCAGUGGCGAAGGCGACUAUCUGGCACAUAACUGACGCUGAGGAGCGAAAGCGUGGGUAGCAAACAGGAUUAGAUACACGGGUAGUC